AGAAAAAACCCUUAAAAAUUAAACCCCUAAAACACUCUCUUCUCAGAACUUCACGAUGAUAAGAGAAAGUUUAUGAACCCUAGCUUUCUCCAUCUCAAUUGAUCGUGAUCGACCCUCCUCCCUCCGCCGGCACCGCUCAUCAUCUCAUCUCGCGCGACCCUUCUCUCCACCGGCACGACGCAUCUUGCGUGACCCUCCCCUCUCCGCUGUUGAGGUUGAUGAGGACAUGUUAAUAUUGGUUAGAGGUAGUGUUAAGCCAUUAAGGCAGCAAGGGGGUCAUGGUGUACUUUUACUAGUGCUUACAGGUUAAGUAGGGCUGUAUCAUCUGUGAUGUUUGCAUGGGCAAGUACUUUUAUGGGACAUGCAAACUCUUUGAUGAUGGUGUGCUCAUUACUAAACCUAAGGUUCUCAACUAAGAAAGAUCCAGAGUGGCUAAAGGACUUAAGGGAACAAGAGGUUGUCAUCAAAUGUGACGAAGGAAUCCAAAUGAAUCUGUUAUGAUUUAGACUAUACUGAUUUGUUGCAAUUGAAGUUGGAAUGGCUCCAAAUGUUUUCUAUUGUCUCAAGAUUUUGAAGCCUCCGCAUAUCCACUUGUCCUGGCUUAGGAUUUGGACAUAAAGAAAUGGCACAUACUUAUCCAUUUGUUUUUGCAAAUUUAACCCAUGGUCAAAAUUUUAUCCUCUAUUCUAUGCUAUUUUGUAGAGUAACCCCAGAUGCUUGCUGUUAUGGCUUGUCAUAGGCUGAGAUGUGAUUUAAGUAGGCCAAAUAAGAAUUAGGCCUUCUUCACUUUAACUUCUUCCUGAACAUUUAAAGUUCUUCAGAACAUCAUUUAUUUGAGUUAACAGAUUUCUUUUGAUUGUUGUUUGA